rnacentral:rRNA from 1 species
CGGAUAUGAAACUCGUUCUGGAAAGAAUUGUUUCUCAAAGGCAACGCUUAAGGAUGAGUCAGCGGCCGAUUAGAUAGUUGGUGGGGUAAAGGCCCACCAAGUCCGCGAUCGGUAGGGGCCCUGAGAGGGGUAGCCCCGAGAAGGGAACUGAGACACGGUCCCUAGCCCUACGGGGUGCAGCAGGCGCGAAAACUUUGCAAUGCACGAAAGUGUGACAAGGGAACCCCGAGUGCUCAGCCAUGCUGGGCUUUUGCCAAGAUUAAAACCCUUGGCGAAUAAGUGGUGGGUAAGACGGGUGCCAGCCGCCGCGGUAACACCCGCGCCACAAGUGGCAAUCAGUGUUAUUGGGCCUAAAGCGUCCGUAGCAGGUUUUGUAAAUCUUUUGUGAAAUUGUUGCGCUCAACGUAACAACGUGCAAGAGACACUGCAGAACUUGGGACCGGGAGGAGUCAGAGGUAUUUCUUGGGGAGCGGUAAAAUGCUAUAAUCCAAGAAGGACCACCUAUGGCGAAGGCAUCUGACUAGAACGGAUCCGACUGUGAGGGACGAAAGCUGGGGGAGCGAACCGGAUUAGAUACCCGAGUAGUCCUAGCUGUAAACGCUGCGAGCUAGGUGUUGCGCAAUCUUAGAGAUUGCGCAGUAUCGGAGCGAAGGUGUUAAGCUCGCCGCCUGGGAAUUACGGUCGCAAGGCUGAAACUUAAAGGAAUUGGCGGGGGAGCACUACAAGGGGUGCGGCGUGCGGUUUAAUUUAACUCUACUCAGAGAAUCUCACCAGGAGCGACGGCACUGUGAAAGUCAGAUUAAAGGUUUUACUUGAGGAGCCGAGAGGUGG